UCAACUUCUCAAAAUGAGGUUCCCUUCUCAGCUCCUGGGGCUGCUGAUGCUCUGGGUCCCAGGUUCCAAUGGGGAUGUUGUGAUGACACAGACCCCGCUCUUGCUGCCCGUAACCCCUGGAGAACCGGCCUCCAUCUCCUGCAAGGCCAGUCAGAGCCUUGUACACAGUAAUGGAAAUACCUAUUUGGAUUGGUACCUGCAGAAGCCAGGCCAGUCCCCACAGCUCCUCAUCUAUGAGGUUUCCAACCGUUUCACUGGGGUCCCAGACAGGUUCAGUGGCAGCGGAUCAGGGACAGAUUUCACUCUGAGAAUCAGCAGGGUGGAGGCUGAUGAUGUGGGAGUUUAUUACUGUGGGCAACGUACACAUUUUCCUCCCACAGUGGUUCAGGCCUGAACACAAACCUCUCUGUU